GAGCUGUAGCCACCGGCCUACACCAGAGCCACAGCAACACCAGAUCCAAGCCGCAUCUGCGGCCUACGCCACAGCUCACAGCAACUGAUGGGAUCCUUAACCCCCUGAGCAAGGCCAGGGAUCGAACCCACAACCUCACCGUUCCUAGUCAGGUUUUUUAGCCACUGAGCCACAACAGGAACUGCCUAUUUAUUGUCUUUCUAGGGCCACAGGUGCAGCAUAUGGAUGUUCCCAGGUUAGGGGUCAAAUCGGAGCUGUAGCUGCUGACCUACACCGCAGCCACAGCAAUGCGGGAUCUGAUCCACAUCUGUGACCUACACCACAGCUCAAGGCAAUGCUGGAUCCUUAACCCACUGAACAAGGUCAGGGAUUGAACCCGCAGCAUCAUGGGUACUAGUCAGGUUUGCUACCUCGGAGCCAUGACGGGAACUCCCAAAUCUUUUUAGAACCAUCUCUCUGGUUUCAAGAUAGAGAAUGGAUUAGAAGAAAGAAAAUCAGGACCAGGCAGCCAAAUUAAUUCUGGGGUAAAAGUCUUAGGGUCAAUGGCCAGAAUGAAGGUCACUUGGACAAGGAGGUGAAAUAAGAGGAGUGGGCUGAAUUCAUUUUCAAAAAGUUAAGAAGUUUGGGGACCAUCCAAAUGAUAACGUUCAUGCAGGAGGUAACGACGUACAGCUCUGAAGCUCAGGAAAAAGAUCCUGAGCUGGAGCCACUGGUAUCACGGCGGUUAUUAAAAUCAUAGGAGUGGAUAAGGUGGCCCAGGCAGAGUAAGGAUAAAGCUGGGUCCAACACGCAACUCAAGGAACAUUAAUGUUUGAGGAAUGGGCCAUACAUCGCUCAAAGGAUCACUGAGAAGUAAUCCGAACUGUAAGAGGAACACCAGGAGAGAGCAGUGUGCUGAGCAGGGCAGUGUUUGAAGAAACAGGAAAUGGGCCAAGAAGGUAAGAUGCUGCUGAGAGAUAAGGAUGGCUGAAAAAUGUCUCAAGAAAGAAGUAAACAGCACUGUGUCAACCAGUGCUUCGUACACUUCGGCAUGCAUACUGAUCACCUGGGGAUUUCAUGGAAAGACAAAAUCGAAUUCAUUUGGUCUCUGGAAAGACCUGAGAUUCAGCUCCCAGAAGAUACAGGCAUAGAGAGCUCUUUAAAAGUUAUAAACAUUUGCUGGAAAGAGGAAGCAGGCUAUGGUGGUAGCCAUGAGAGUCUGGCGAGGCGUGGUGUCAGAGUCACACGAGGACGAGGCCUAAAGCUCCAAUUCUGGAGUCAGACUUCCUGAGUUUAAAUCCUGACUCUCCGUAAAUCCCCUUUUUUUUUUCUUCUUCUUCUUCUUUUUAGGGCUACCCCCAAAGCACAUGGAGGUUCCCAGCCUAGGGGUCAAAUCGCAGCUGUAACCACUGGCCUAUGCCAGAGCCUCAACAAUGCCAGAUCCGAGCCUUGUUGGCGACCUACCCCACAGCUCACAGCAAUGCCAGAUCCUUAAUCCACUGAGCAAGGCCAGGGAUCAAACCUUCGUCCUCAUGGAUGCUAAUCAGAUUCGUUUCCGCUGAGCCAGGACAUCAACUUCUCCAUAUGUACUCCUUGAACAAAAAAAUAUAUGGACCAAUGAAAGUCAGUGUACUCCAGGGGUGUAAAAGCAUAAUUUUAAAAAAUGAAAUUAUAAAGCAAACGCGUGUCAAAGAUUUUAUCCAGGAGUUCCCUGGUAAGGUUAAGGAUCCAGUGUUGUCACUAUAGCUCCAGUCCUGCUGUGGCGUGAGUUGAAUCCCUGGCCCAAGAACUUUUGCAUGCCAUGGGUGCAACCAAAAAAAAAAAAAAAAGAAAGAAAAGGAGUUCCCGUCGUGGUGCAGUGGUUAACGAAUCCGACUAGGAACCAUGAGCCACGAUGGGAACUCCUGGUUCAAAUUAUUUACCUUUGCAUUCCAGGCUCUUCUUAUCUAGCCUUCCCCAGGAAAUCUUUUCCAAUAUUAUGUACUAGGAGUCCCCUUCAGCCCAUUUUUCAUAAAUUAUACUCAUAUAGUUCUUUCCUUUUUCAACUUCAAGCC
ensembl:lncRNA